CCUACGGGAGGCUGCAGUGGGGAAUCUUGGGCAAUGGGCGCAAGCCUGACCCAGCAACGCCGCGUGAAGGAAUAAGGCUUUCGGGUUGUAAACUUCUUUUCUCAGGGACGAAGCAAGUGACGGUACCUGAGGAAUAAGCCACGGCUAACUACGUGCCAGCAGCCGCGGUAAUACGUAGGUGGCAAGCGUUAUCCGGAUUUACUGGGUGUAAAGGGCGGGUAGGCGGGAAAGCAAGUCAGAUGUGAAAACCAUGGGCUCAACCUGUGGCCUGCAUUUGAAACUGUUUUUCUUGAGUACUGGAGAGGCAGACGGAAUUCCUAGUGUAGCGGUGAAAUGCGUAGAUAUUAGGAGGAACACCAGUGGCGAAGGCGGUCUGCUGGACAGCAACUGACGCUGAGGCGCGAAAGCGUGGGGAGCAAACAGGAUUAGAUACCCUGGUAGUC
rnacentral:rRNA from 1 species